rnacentral:rRNA from 1 species
UACGUAGGGUGCGAGCGUUGUCCGGAAUUAUUGGGCGUAAAGAGCUUGUAGGCGGUCUGUCGCGUCUACUGUGAAAAUCCGGGGCUCAACCCCGGACUUGGCAGUGGGUACGGGCAGACUAGAGUGUGGUAGGGGAGACUGGAAUUCCUGGUGUAGCGGUGAAAUGCGCAGAUAUCAGGAGGAACACCAGUAGCGAAGGCGGCUCGCUGGGCCAUUCCUGACGCUGAGACGCGAAAGCUAGGGGAGCGAACAGG